GUAGGUGGCAAGCGUUGUCCGGAAUUAUUGGGCGUAAGGCGCGCGCAGGCGGUUCUUUAAGUCUGAUGUGAAAGCCCACGGCUCAACCGUGGAGGGUCAUUGGAAACUGGAGAACUUGAGUACAGAAGAGGAAAGCGGAAUUCCACGUGUAGCGGUGAAAUGCGUAGAGAUGUGGAGGAACACCAGUGGCGAAGGCGGCUUUCUGGUCUGUAACUGACGCUGAGGCGCGAAAGCGUGGGGAGCAAACAGGGAUUAGAUACCCUGGUAGUCCACGCCGUAAACGAUGAGUGCUAAGUGUUAGGGGGUUUCCGCCCCCUUAGUGCUGCAGCUAACGCAUUAAGCACUCCGCCUGGGGAGUACGGCCGCAAGGCUG
rnacentral:rRNA from 1 species